rnacentral:rRNA from 1 species
UACGUAGGUGGCAAGCGUUGUCCGGAAUUAUUGGGCGUAAAGCGCGCGUAGGUGGGAUGGUAAGUCUGUCUUAAAAGUGCGGGGGCUCAACCCCGUGAUGGGGCGGAUACUGCUAUUCUUGAGUGCAGGAGAGGAAAGCGGAAUUCCCGGUGUAGCGGUGAAAUGCGUAGAUAUUGGGAGGAACACCAGUGGCGAAGGCGGCUUUCUGGACUGUGUCUGACACUGAGGCGCGAAAGCCAGGGGAG